AGGAUGAACGCUGGCGGCGUGCCUAAAACAUGCAAGUCAUACGGUCUACCUUCGGGUAGACAGUGGCAAACGGGUGAGUAACACGUGGGAACACGCCUUCGAGUGGGGAAUAACGCUGAGAAAUCAGUGCUAAUACCGCAUAUGGUCUAACGACUAAAGCAGCAAUGCGCUCGGAGAGUGGCCCGCGUCCGAUUAGCUAGUUGGUGGGGUAAUGGCCUACCAAGGCGGUGAUCGGUAGCUGGUCUGAGAGGAUGGUCAGCCACACUGGGACUGCGAACGGCCCAGACUCCUACGGGAGGCAGCAGUUAGGAAUUUUCGGCAAUGGACGAAAGUCUGACCGAGCGACGCCGCGUGGAGGAUGAAGCCGUUUCGGGGUGUAAACUCCUUUUCUGCGGGAAGAUAAUGACGGUACCGCAGGAAUAAGCACCGGCUAACUACGCGCCAGCAGCCGC
rnacentral:rRNA from 1 species